rnacentral:tRNA from 1 species
GAGGGCAUAGCUCAGUGGCAGAGUGCAUGCUUAGCAUGCAGGAGGUCCUGGGUUCAAGCCCCAGUACUCCCU